GACAGAGGGGGCAAGCGUUGCUCGGAAUCACUGGGCGUAAAGGGCGCGUAGGCGGGAUGGCAAGUCAGUCGUGAAAUCUCUCGGCUCAACCGAGAAACGUCGGCUGAUACUGCCGUUCUUGAGGGAUGCAGAGGAGACUGGAAUUCCCGGUGUAGCGGUGAAAUGUGUAGAGAUGGGGGAGAACACUCGUGGCGAAGGCGGCCAGCUAGACCAGUUCUGACACUGAGGCGCGACAGCGUGGGGAGCAAACAGG
rnacentral:rRNA from 1 species